AAAGAUGAUUUGGCCAUAAAAACUGAAGGAAAUCUAGGUCAUAUAGUCGGCCAUCAGAUAUUGUCAUUGUGGGCUAAAUUCCAUUCUUAUGAUUGUAAAUUUAUUAGCUUUAGGUAUGUAUUUUGUUCACACAGAGGUUACCUCAAACCGCCAUUCAAUGCUGAAGGAAGAAGGAUAGCAGGAAUGACUAAAGAAUGGUACAUUCCUCUCAUGAAACCAAAAGAUGAAUUGAUGAAGCAUCCCAGAAAAACACAAGAAAAGACGGAAAAUAAUACAGCUACCAACACAUAGGCAGUUUCUAUUCAUUGAUAUUAAAUGUAAUUGCAAUAUUAAAGAAUUAUUUUAAUUAAAGAAUUUUAUCAAAAUUUAUUAAUAAAAUAUCAUGUACUAUUUUGACAAAGUUUAUGUAUACUUUAUUCAGUGUGUUCUGUAUUGUUGUUGCUGCAUUCUUGUCAUGACCUAUAGCCCCAAGCUGGUAAUUCUAGUGUUUUAAAGUUUAUUCUACCAUAAUUAAUCUAACAAGUAUGUAUCUCGUCCUUUAAAAUGCUGAAGUU